rnacentral:rRNA from 1 species
UCGCUUAUUGAAAAUAUAAUAGGUCAAUCCUGCCCGGUGAAUUUUUUUAACGGCCGCGGUAUACUGACCGUGCAAAGGUAGCAUAAUCAUUUGCCUUUUAAUUGAAGGUUAGUAUGAAUGGAUAAACAAGAAUAAAGCUGUCUCAUUUGAGAUAAAAUAAACUAAUAUUCAGGUGAAGAAGCCUGACUAUAUAUAAAGGACAAGAAGACCCUAUAGAGCUUUACUAAGUAAGAUAUUAACAACAUAACCUAGUUUGGUUGGGACAACCAAAAGACACAUUUACCUCUAACUCGCUAUAAAUACACACACCCAAUAAUGAAAUAGAAUAAGCUACCUUAGGGAUAACAGGCUAAUUCCGUUAAAGAGACCACAUUGACAACGGAGUUUGGCACCUCGAUGUUGGCUUAGUGUAACUAUUAAGUGCAGAAGCUUAAUUAAGUUGGUUUGUUCAACCAUUAAAUCACUA